rnacentral:lncRNA from 1 species
AUUGAGCAUCAAUACCCGAACAUGAAAAAUACCUUUUCAUAAGCCUACUCGUAGAAGAAUCUUCAUAUUUGAAAUCAUCAACAUUAUCAAAAUAUUUUAAGCCAAUUAUCAAAGCAAAUUCAUUGAUGGAAAAUCUAAGAAUCUGGCCUUUGACAAAAACAUGUAUCUCUUCUUGAUUUGGUUGCUCGAUCUCGAGCAUAAGAAGAUAUUUU